UACGUAGGGUGCGAGCGUUGUCCGGACUUAUUGGGCGUAAAGAGCUCGUAGGCGGUUUGUCGCGUCGGCCGUGAAAACCUGCAGCUUAACUGUGGGCUUGCGGUCGAUACGGGCAGACUUGAGUUCGGUAGGGUAGACUGGAAUUCCUGGUGUAGCGGUGAAAUGCGCAGAUAUCAGGAGGAACACCGGUGGCGAAGGCGGGUCUCUGGGCCGAUACUGACGCUGAGGAGCGAAAGCGUGGGGAGCGAACAGG
rnacentral:rRNA from 1 species